UUAAUAAAGUUAGCUAUUGACCCUUGAUGUCAUAAUUCCAGGUCACAGGAAGUAGGUGUUUUCCAGCCUGUGCAGUUUAUCUCAUGUGCUUUCAGCUUUCUCCAUGCUAAACAGGCCCUAUGCAGCAUUGUUGGUGAGUGUAUACAGUUUUACUUGCUUAAUAUACUCAGCUCCUGCAUCUUAGAGAGAGAGGUUUGUUUCUGUUUGAUAGCAGAUUUAUUACAUCUGUGUAAUGUAUAUGCAUGCAUAUUGUUUCACCAGCAGAGACACUUAUACCAUUUCAUUUGUAUGUAUUUCAGUUUUACCCUUUCAUCUUCAAAUACUCAUUAAACAAGUUAACAACUUACACAGUGUGGUGUUUUGAAGAAGGGUUAUCUGCCUGUCAAUCUCACUUCAGACAGUGAGCAGGACAGAACAGUAGACAACACCACGCAUAGCUGAUGCAAUACAGCACAGUAAAACAACAGCUGGUAUCAAGAGGCCCACACGCAGAGUGGAUUAGCAAGUACCACAAAGAUACAGUACAGCUUCAGUUAACAGCUAACUCUUAUCAAGAUUAGACAGCAAGAUGUCUGAACGAUCAAUCAAAACCAGAUCUAGGGUGUCACAUUCAUCCAGACUCUCAAACCGCUCCCAGGUGUCUGACGCUGCACUUUUCCGCGCAGAAGCUGCCGCUGCACUAGCUCAACUCACAUUUACUGGGAAGGAAACAGAGCUAAAAUUAGAGAAGACACGCUUAGAAGCCUCAAUAGAGAUUCUUAACUUACAUAAGACCGUGGCAAUCGCAAAUGCCAAAGCAGAUGCAUUAGAUGCAGCUCUUGACACUACAGAACAAGCAAGUCAGAAAUUCACUAUGCAGCCUGAUGUAAAACCAGAAACUGCUAUGCAACGUACCAAAGAAUAUGUGCUGGAACAUUCACAGGAGUACAGUCCAUCAAUGCCAAGCCUAGAAAAGCUUAGUGAGUACAGAGACAGUGAUGUUAUCCCAUUAUUGGAGCAAAAUCAUAGUAUACCUCUCCAGAACAUUCCCUUACAAUGUGACUACAUCUCACCACCAGAUGGUGCUCUGUUACAAGAACAAAAGGAUUUCAAACAAUUGUAUCCUGUUAAUGUGAAAACUCCUGCAGCCAGAGACUAUAAUGACAUUCAGUGGACUUUACCUGUUACUAAUAAAUACAGCUAUCCUCCUGUUACACGACCAAGGGUUCCUGAUAGAGACAGUCAUUCUCCAGAGGGAUCAUACCAGCACACACCAGAUGUGAAGCCAGCGCUCCCUAUUAAGCCUGAUUCAAACCAACUCACUGGCGAUCAACAGAUGUCAGACUUAGUGAGAUUUAUGGCACGCAGAGAAAUGAUAACAUCAGGUCUUGUUCAGUUUGACGAGAAACCAGAAAACUACAGGGCUUGGAAGGCGUCAUUUAAAAAUGCUAUAGAAGACCUUCACCUUUCAUACAAAGAAGAAACAGAUCUCCUAGUGAAGUGGCUAGGUCCAGAGUCCAGCAGACAAGUGAAAGGCAUUCGGGCAGUAUAUGUCAAUGAUUCUUGUAAAGGACUACAGAUGUCAUGGCAAAGGUUGAACGAAGAUUAUGGAGCUCCAGAGAAGAUAGAAAAAUCCCUGUGGGACAGGAUUGACAACUUUGGGAAUAUCUUUGAAAGAGAUUGCAGCAAGAAACUUAGAGAAUUCAGUGAUCUGGUAAUAGAACUGUUGGCAGCAAAAAAUGAAGGAUGCUUUCUAGGACUAGGUAAUCUUGAUUCCGCCAGAGGAAUAGAAGACCUUGUAAAAAAGCUGCCAGAUUCUCUAAAAAGGAAAUGGGCAUCCCAUGGGACCAAGUACAAGGAAAUACAUAAUGUACUAUUCCCACCAUUCUCUUAUUUCGUGCAAUGUAUCUCUCAACAAGCAAAGAUGUACAAUGACCCAGGUUUUGCUCAGACGUUCCAGACCUUUGGUGACAACAAGCCAGAGAAAUACCGCUACAAGAACACCCCUCAGAGAAGCUCCAUCAGGGUGCACAAGACUGAAGUAUCUCAAGCUACAGGAAACUCUUCUGCUUUCACUGAUGCUAAGACCAUGGACUUAACAAAAGGAUGUCCGAUUCAUCACAAACCUCAUCCUCUGUACAAAUGCAGAGGCUUCAGAAGUAAGUCCCUUGAUGAGAGAAAGACUUUCUUAAAACAAAACAAUAUUUGUUACCGUUGCUAUGCCUCAAAUGCACACCUUGCGAAAGACUGUGACAAACCAGUUAGCUGCACAGAGUGCAACAGUGACAGACACGUGUCUGCUCUUCAUCCUGGUCCUGCACCAUGGUCAGUCAGGCCACCAGAAGGGAGUGAUCAUGGCGGGGAGGGAAAGGACAACGGUGCAGAGGCUACAGUAACUACAACAUGUACCGAAGUGUGUGGAGGAGACCUUCGAGACAGAUCAUGCUCUAAAAUCUGUUUAGUAAGUGUCUAUCCUACAGGACAAAAGAACAGAGCAAUCAAACUUUAUGCUAUUCUAGAUGACCAAAGUAAUAGGUCCCUGGUCAGGUCAGAGUUCUUUGAAAUCUUCGGGUCAAAAGGCCAGCAGUUUCCAUAUUCUCUCAGAACCUGUGCAGGGGUGAUUAACACUUCAGGAAGAAGAGCGCAAGGGUUUGAACUACAGUCUCUUGAUGGCAAAACCACAAUCUCAUUACCCACACUCAUUGAAUGUAAUGAGAUACCGAACGACCGGACGGAGAUCCCAACCCCUGAGGUGGCUCUUCAUCACAAUCAUCUAAAGUCACUUGCUAGUGAGAUACCCAAACUUGAUCCAUCAGCAUCUAUCCUUAUGCUGUUAGGAAGAGACAUAAUUAGGGUCCACAAAGUGAGGCAACAGAUCAACGGACCACAUAACGCUCCUUAUGCACACAGAUUAGACACAGGAUGGGUCAUAGUGGGCAAUGUAUGCCUGAAAGGAGUCCAUAGACCAGACUUAGUACACUGUCUUUACACCAGAACCUCAGAAGAGAGCUGCAGAUCCCUCUUUCCACCUUGUCCAUACUUCUACAAUGUGAGGGAAAACUAUGACAUGAAUGUAUGUGUAACCAUGCAAUCCUCAGUGUCUACGUACAAAUCCUCUUGCAAAGAGUUUGAGGAUCAUGUAAGCCACAGUAUCUUUCAGAGAACAACAGAAGAUGAGACGGUUGCUCCUUCUCUGGAAGAUCUUGCCUUUAUGAAAACAAUGAACGAGGGUUUCUACAGAGCAGAAGACAGUAGUUGGGUAGCUCCUUUACCCUUCAAACCACAAAGAAAGCAGCUACCAAAUAACAAAGAACAAGUCUUGCAACGUUUCAGGUCCUUACAGAGUUCUUUUAAAGUAAAACCUGAGAUGAGACAGCAUUUCUUUGCAUUUAUGGGAAAGGUAAUCCAAAAUGGCCACGCAGAGAUAGCGCCACCUCUCAAUCCAAGAGAAGAGUGUUGGUAUCUGCCUCUCUUUGGAGUCUACCACCCCAAGAAACCCCAACAGAUUAGAGUUGUCUUUGAUUCAAGUGCACAGUGUUGUGGGGUAUCCCUGAAUGACAUUCUGUUGAAAGGCCCAGACCUAAAUAAUAACCUCCUUGGUGUGUUGUUACGCUUUCGCAAGGACACCAUUGCAUUCAUGGCUGAUAUCCAACAGAUGUUCCACUGUUUUCUAGUUAGACCUGAAGACAGAAAUUACUUAAGGUUCUUCUGGCACAAAGACAACGACCCUGCACAAGACAUCAUAGAAUGGAGAAUGAAAGUACAUAUCUUUGGUAACAGACCUUCUCCAGCAGUGGCCAUAUAUGGUCUUAGACAAGCAGCUUGUCAGGAAGAAAAGGAGUUUGGUACAGACGCUAAAAGAUUCGUGAAAAGAGACUUUUACGUGGACGAUGGUCUGAAGUCAGUACCCACUGCAGCUGAAGCCAUUGACCUCUUGAACAGAACCAGGAAAAUGCUAGCAUGUUCAAAUCUCCGCUUACAUAAGAUAGCAUCAAAUAGCAGUGAUGUAAUGGCUGCUUUUUCUUCUGAAGAUCACGCAACAGACUUAAAAGAUCUCAAUUUCAAUGAUGAUGAUUUACCCAUGCAAAGAAGCUUAGGCAUCUGCUGGGAUCUUAAAAGCGAUUCCCUGACCUUCCAGGUGUCAUCAGAGAAAAGACCCUUCACACGAAGAGGAGUCCUCUCUACAAUAAACAGUUUGUAUGACCCUUUGGGGAUAGCUGCACCAGUAACCAUUCAAGGGAAAGCUCUUCUUCGUGAUCUCACCUCGGAGACUCAAGAUUGGGAUGCACCCCUACCUGAAGGUAAGAGACUGUCAUGGGAAGAUUGGAAAGAGUCCCUUCACCAGUUGAAGCACAUACAGGUAACUAGACCCUAUGUAUCCGUUUCUUGUUCAAAUGCCAAAUACAAAGAACUUUGUGUGUUUUCAGAUGCCUCCAUGCAAGCAAUUGCAGCAGUGGCCUACUUAAAGGUGAUAGAUUCUGAAAGUCAGGUCCACAUAGGUUUUGUGCUAGGAAAAGCUAAAUUAGCUCCAUGUCCGGAACUUACAGUCCCACGACUUGAACUCUGUGCAGCAGUCCUCGCAGUAGAUAUAGCUGAAUUCAUAACAAAAGAAAUCGACACAAAUAUAGACUCUGUCAGCUACUUCACAGACAGCAGAAUAGUUUUAGGCUACAUUUGCAAUGAGAAAAGAAGAUUUUAUGUCUUUGUUAGCAACAGAGUUCAGCGAAUAAGAAGAUCCUCUCUCCCUGAACAAUGGCACUAUGUGUCAACAGAGAGCAAUCCAGCUGAUCUGGCCACAAGAUCUGUACCAGCAGCACACCUGAAAGAUACUAUGUGGUUCACAGGUCCACCCUUCUUGAGUCAUUCUCACCACUUGAAACUAGAGACUGAAACCUUUACAUUAGUGGAUCCGGCUCAAGAUACAGAGAUUCGUCCACAAGUUACAACCUUGAGUACAACAUCCAAAGGUAAAGAACUAGGGUCUGAACGUUUUUGCAGGUUCUCUAGCUGGAGUACUUUGACUAGAGCAUUAGCACGCCUCAUUCAUGUAGCUCAUCUGUUCAAACAAAAAAGAGACAGCCAACUUGAUCAUUGUAAGGGCUGGCACCUUUGCAGAGAACUAAACUUGGUGCAUGACUUUAAGAAAGCUAGAUCAGUCAUCAUACAGAAUGUUCAAAAAGAGACUUUUGCAAAAGAAAUACAGAGCAUUGUAGAAAAGGAAGGCAUGCCAAAUGAUAGUCCUCUCAGAGCAUUGGACCCUUUCAUAGAUGAAAAUAGACUACUGAGAGUAGGUGGUCGCUUGAGAAAUGCAGACCUAGGACCAGAGGAGAGAAAUCCAAUUAUUGUGCCUGGUCAUCACUACAUAGCUACCCUCAUUGCUCGUCACUAUCACAUCCAGUCGCAACACCAAGGGCGCCACAUUACAGAAGGAGCCAUCCGCUCAGCAGGAUAUUGGAUAACAGGAGGAAAGAGACGUGUGAGCAGUCUCAUCUUUAAAUGUGUCAUGUGCAAGAAGCUCAGAAACACUUGUGAAACACAAAAAAUGGCAGAUUUGCCACCUGAUAGACUGAGAACAGAUCCACCGUUCACCCACAUUGGUCUUGAUGUGUUUGGGCCAUGGACAGUCUGCUCAAGACGUACACGAGGAGGCUCUGCCGACAGCAAAAGGUGGGCAGUUCUUUUUACUUGUCUAAAUAUCAGAGCCAUCCAUAUUGAAGUGAUAGAAUCCAUGGACACUUCAAGCUUUAUAAAUUCUUUCAGAAGGUUUUUUGCUAUACGUGGUCAAGUCAAAACUAUCAGAUCUGAUCGGGGUACCAAUUUUGUUGGAGCAUGCCGUGAACUUGGAAUCUCUUCCAACCUUAACUAUGAAGAGGUAGAAAGUUUCCUUUCCAAACAAGAGGUGUGUUGGAUCUUUAAUCCCCCUCAUGCUUCCUACAUGGGAGGUGUGUGGGAAAGAAUGAUAGGAGUUGCAAGAAGAAUAUUAGACUCCAUGCUUCUACAGUUACCUUCAAAACUCUCGCAUGAGGUUCUCAUUACUUUAAUGGCAGAAGUGACUGCAAUAGUGAACUCAAGGCCUCUGACCCCAGUCUCAACAGAUCCUGAGGACCCACAAAUACUUACUCCAGCUACACUGUUGACUCAGAAGUUUGCAUCUUAUCCCGUACUUUCUGGGAACUUUGAUGGUAAAGAUCUCUAUAAAAGACAAUGGAGACAGGUUCAAAGCCUAGCCAAGGUCUUCUGGGACCGGUGGCGUAAACAGUAUCUAUCUACCCUGCAGGUAAGAAGGAAAUGGCAAUCAGAUAGACCUAACAUCAACACAGGAGAUCUCGUCCUUCUGAAAGAUCAACAAACCAAGAGGAAUGAAUGGCCUAUGGGUCGUGUAACAAAGACUUUCCCUGAUAAAGAUGGCAAAGUUCGCAAAGUGGAAAUAAAGAUUGCCAGAGAUGGGAGUUCUACAUUAUUCUUCAGACCAGUGACAGAGCUCAUUCUUCUUCUUCAGUCUGAAGACCCUACCCCCUGAUUGGACUAGAAUGAUUGUGGUGAUCUUACAGACACCAGGCGGGGAGUGUGCUGUCAGGACAGAUAUAUGUCUUUUCAUUUGAUUAUAGGUAUGAGCAGUCCUCCAGCUCCAUCUACUGGACACCUGUAGAUAUUUCCUGGUGUUAGUUAUUUGUUUAAUAAAGUUAGCUAUUGACCCUUGAUGUCAUAAUUCCAGGUCACAGGAAGUAGGUGUUUUCCAGCCUGUGCAGUUUAUCUCAUGUGCUUUCAGCUUUCUCCAUGCUAAACAGGCCCUAUGCAGCAUUGUUGUUUUACCCUUUCAUCUUCAAAUACUCAUUAAACAAGUUAACAACUUACACAGUGUGGUGUUUUGAAGAAGGGUUAUCUGCCUGUCAAUCUCACUUCAGACAGUGAGCAGGACAGAACAGUAGACAACACCACGCAUAGCUGAU